UACGUGCCAGCAGCCGCGGUAAUACGUAGGUGGCAAGCGUUGUCCGGAAUUAUUGGGCGUAAAGCGCGCGCAGGCGGUUUCUUAAGUCUGAUGUGAAAGCCCCCGGCUCAACCGGGGAGGGUCAUUGGAAACUGGGGAACUUGAGUGCAGAAGAGGAGAGUGGAAUUCCACGUGUAGCGGUGAAAUGCGUAGAGAUGUGGAGGAACACCAGUGGCGAAGGCGACUCUCUGGUCUGUAACUGACGCUGAGGCGCGAAAGCGUGGGGAGCGAACAGGAUUAGAUACCCUGGUAGUCCACGCCGUAAACGAUGAGUGCUAAGUGUUAGAGGGUUUCCGCCCUUUAGUGCUGCAGCAAACGCAUUAAGCACUCCGCCUGGGGAGUACGGUCGCAAGACUGAAACUCAAAGGAAUUGACGGGGGCCCGCACAAGCGGUGGAGCAUGUGGUUUAAUUCGAAGCAACGCGAAGAACCUUACCAGGUCUUGACAUCCUCUGACAACCCUAGAGAUAGGGCUUCCCCUUCGGGGGCAGAGUGACAGGUGGUGCAUGGUUGUCGUCAGCUCGUGUCGUGAGAUGUUGGGUUAAGUCCCGCAACGAGCGCAACCCUUGAUCUUAGUUGCCAGCAUUCAGUUGGGCACU
rnacentral:rRNA from 1 species